GUACACACCGCCCGUCACAUCACGAAAGUGGGUUGCACUAGAAGUCCCCAGGCURACCGMAAGGAGGCAGGGGCCCAARGUGUGACUCAYGAUUGGGGUGAAGUCGUAACAAGGUARCCGUAGGUGAACCUGCAGAAGGAUCA
rnacentral:rRNA from 1 species